GAUGAAGAACGUAGCGAAAUGCGAUAAGUAAUGUGAAUUGCAGAAUUCAGUGAAUCAUCGAAUCUUUGAACGCACAUUGCGCCCGCCAGUAUUCUGGCGGGCAUGCCUGUUCGAGCGUCAUUUCAACCCUCAAGCACAGCUUGGUGUUGGGACUCGCGUUAAUUCGCGUUCCCCAAAUUGAUUGGCGGUCACGUCGAGCUUCCAUAGCGUAGUAGUAAAACCCUCGUUACUGGUAAUCGUCGCGGCCACGCCGUUAAACCCCAACUUCUGAAUGUUGACCUCGGAUCAGGUAGGAAUACCCGCUGAACUUAAGCAUAUCAAUAAGCGGAGG
rnacentral:misc_RNA from 1 species